GGGCGUUAAGUUGCAGGGUAUAGACCCGAAACCCGGUGAUCUAGCCAUGGGCAGGUUGAAGGUUGGGUAACACUAACUGGAGGACCGAACCGACUAAUGUUGAAAAAUUAGCGGAUGACCUGUGGCUGGGGGUGAAAGGCCAAUCAAACCGGGAGAUAGCUGGUUCUCCCCGAAAGCUAUUUAGGUAGCGCCUCGUGAAUUCAUCUCCGGGGGUAGAGCACUGUUUCGGCUAGGGGGCCAUCCCGGCUUACCAACCCGAUGCAAACUGCGAAUACCGGAGAAUGUUAUCACGGGAGACACACGGCGGGUGCUAACGUCCGUCGUGAAGAGGGAAACAACCCAGACCGCCAGCUAAGGUCCCAAAGUCAUGGUUAAGUGGGAAACGAUGUGGGAAGGCCCAGACAGCCAGGAUGUUGGCUUAGAAGCAGCCAUCAUUUAAAGAAAGCGUAAUAGCUCACUGGUCGAGUCGGCCUGCGCGGAAGAUGUAACGGGGCUAAACCAUGCACCGAAGCUGCGGCAGC
rnacentral:rRNA from 3 species